AGCAGCCGCGGUAAUUCCAGCUCCAAUAGCGUAUAUUAAAGUUGUUGCAGUUAAAAAGCUCGUAGUUGAAUUUCGGGAUUGGCGCAUCGGUCGUGCCUUACGGGGUAUGAACUGGUGCAGUCAAUUUCUCACCUUCUGGAGAACCGCGAUGUCCUUAAUUGGGUGCCGCGGGGAACCAGGACCUUUACUUUGAAAAAAUUAGAGUGUUUAAAGCAGGCAUUUUUGCUUGAAUACAUUAGCAUGGAAUAAUAAAAUAGGACGGCAUGGUUCUAUUUUGUUGGUUUCUAGGACCACCGUAAUGAUUAAUAGGGAUAGUUGGGGGCAUUAGUAUUCAAUUGUCAGAGGUGAAAUUCUUGGAUUUAUUGAAGACUAACUACUGCGAAAGCAUUUGCCAAGGAUGUUUUCAUUAAUCAAGAACGAAAGUUAGGGGAUCGAAGACGAUCAGAUACCGUCGUAGUCUUAACCAUAAACUAAUGCCGACUAGGGAUCGGAUGAUGUUAAUUUUUAAUGACUCAUUCGG
rnacentral:rRNA from 1 species